AUUGAACGCUGGCGGCAGGCCUAACACAUGCAAGUCGAGCGGAGCGGCGGACGGGUGAGUAAUACCUAGGAAUCUGCCUGGUAGUGGGGGAUAACGUCCGGAAACGGGCGCCAAUACCACAUACUCUCAGCUGAGCCUGGGUCGGAUUAGCUAGUGGGGGGGGUAAAGGCCUACCAGGGCGACGAUCCGUAACUGGUCUGGGAGGAUGAUCAGUCAACCUGGAACGGGGACCCGGUCCAGAUCCCUACGGGAGGAAGCAGUGGGGAAUAUGCGACAAUGGGCGAAAGCCUGCUCAAGCCAUGCCGCGUGUGUGAAGAAGGUCUUCGGAUUGUAAAGCACUUUAAGUUGGGAGGCGUUACCAACAGAAUAAGCACCGGCUAACUUCGUGCCAGCAGCCGCGUAAUAC
rnacentral:rRNA from 1 species